UUGUAAGCAAUUUUUUUUUACUACCCUUUGCUCCCCCAUUUUUGCAAACUUAGAAUCGCCUAACUAAGAGAAUAGUGCUUAACUUAAUAUGUAGCAGCCCUUCGUGACCAGAGUGACCAGUGUCAUAGUUAAACCUUUUGGGUUCAUAACAUAAAUUAUUGUCUGUUAUUGUAUUUCCAUUUUUGUAUUAUGUUAACUUGACAUGAAAGUUAUAUAAUGUAACUAAUGCCUAUCUACAAUUUUAUGAAUAACAGACACUGUGAGAAGAGGAAGGCGGCCGAGGUCAAUGACAGUACUGAAUCUUUUUCUUGUGGACCGAAUGGACUGCAGUAGAGUUCCCACAGAUGGCCAAAAAUCUCGCUUAACCCAAGCUGGUCUUGGUUUUGCGAGGAACAAGUUGGUCAACCUAACCUGGGACUUGCGUGAAUUUUAUGCAUUUGUGUGUGGGAGCUUUCCAUCUGUGAACCUGAACUUAAUAGGUUUCACUGUGGCCAAGGCAAAUAAACAACGAAGGUUGAUGACACUUCAUGCCAACUCUUUGAAGGAUCUGAAGCGUCAGUUACGAAAAAGCCAUCUUUAUAUAAUUCCACGUGGAAACCUCUUAUCUGGAAGUCAGAUGUCUGCAGCAGUGGUCAACCCCUCCACCACACCUGCUCAGUCCAGCCAAAUGUCUGCAGCAGUGGUCAACCCCUCCACCACACCUGCUCAGUCCAGCCAAAUGUCUGCAGCAGUGGUCAACCCCUCCACCACACCUGCUCAGUCCAGCCAAAUGUCAGCAGCAGCAUUAAUGGAAAAUUCAUUAGAGAGAGACAUGUCAUUUCAGCUGGAGACGUUGGACCCACUAGAGUGGCAGAAUGCAGGAACGCCUGAUGUGUUUUACAAAAUUCCAACAAGCUCAGCAGUGGAUGCCUCUCAAAUUGUAGACAGAAAUGACUUCAUGCUGGCUGAAAAUGAUGAAGAUAAUGACAGCAGUGAUCAUGACAGCAGUGGUCAUGACACAAAUGACGAAAAUAAUUUCACCACAGUAAGUCUGCUUCAUGCUAUGGAUGAAGAUCUUAAUCUUGCCACAGUCCUCAAAUGUUUCCAGAAACAACACUUCUGCCAAGAUGAAGAGGACAGCCAAAGCAGCUCUUCCGACUCUGGCAAUGACCUCCAUGUUAUUGUCCAUAGGAGGAAAGUCCUAUACAGUGCUUUUAAAGCAAUGUCAUCACCAUCAUUCUGCUGGAAGAAAUCUCCAAAGGUGGAAUUUGUUGGGGAGGAAGGAGCAGAUUACGGGGGGCCACAGAGAGAGUUUUUCCGACUCUUGAUGCAGGAUGUGCAACAGUCCGGUGUGUUUGAGGGUCCAUCUAAGGAGCUACUGUUCACCUACCAUCAGGGCCAGGAACAAAAGUACCUAAAGAGUUGCAAACAUCAUCAAACAAUUCACCGAUGGAUUGAACUCAUGGGGGAAUUUGUGGGAUGUGGUGAAAGCCAACUAUGCUGCCUUCCUGCCAGUCUUCACCGACAUGUCCGUCCCUCUUACUCGCCAAUCCCUCAAGUCACUCUUCAGUGUCAACUACAGUACCAGGGGCACCAACCGACGAGAGCAGGAAGAGGACACCAUCUUCAGCUGGGAGGUGUUUCUCAAGAUGGUAGAAGACAGUCAAGCAGAUGUCACUUUUGAGGACAUCCUCAUAUUCAUCACCUCAGCAGACAUGAUUCCUCCACUUGGAUUCCAGGAACAAGGCAGGUCCCGAAUGCCAUAUGCAUCCACUUGCGCACUGACC